CCUACGGGCGGCAGCAGUGGGGAAUAUUGCACAAUGGGGGAAACCCUGAUGAAGCGACGCCGCGUAGGUGAAGAAGUAUCUCGGUACGUAAAGCCCUAUCAGCAGGGAGGAAAAUGACGGUACCUAACUAAGAAGCCCCGGCUAACUACGUGCCAGCAACCGCGGGAAUACGUAGGGGGUAAGCGUUAUCCGGAUUUACUGGGUGUAAAGGGGGCGUAGACGGCAGCACAAGUCUGGAGUGAAAUCCCGGGGCUUAACCCCGGAACUGCUUUGGAAACUGUGCGGCUGGAGUGCAGGAGGGGUAAGCGGAAUUCCUAGUGUAGCGGUGAAAUGCGUAGAUAUUAGGAGGAACACCGGUGGCGAAGGCGGCUUACUGGACUGUAACUGACGUUGAGGCUCGAAAGCGUGGGGAGCAAACAGGAUUAGAUACCCUUGUAGUC
rnacentral:rRNA from 1 species